AUAUCAAUAAGCGGAGGAAAAGAAACCAACAGGGAUUGCCUUAGUAGCGGCGAGUGAAGCGGCAAAAGCUCAAAUUUGAAAUCUGGCUCUUUCAGAGUCCGAGUUGUAAUUUGAAGAAGGUAUCUUUGGGGCUGGCUCUUGUCUAUGUUUCUUGGAACAGAACGUCACAGAGGGUGAGAAUCCCGUGCGAUGAGAUGACCCAGUCCUAUGUAAAGUUCCUUCGAAGAGUCGAGUUGUUUGGGAAUGCAGCUCUAAGUGGGUGGUAAAUUCCAUCUAAAGCUAAAUAUUGGCGAGAGACCGAUAGCGAACAAGUACAGUGAUGGAAAGAUGAAAAGAACUUUGAAAAGAGAGUGAAAAAGUACGUGAAAUUGUUGAAAGGGAAGGGCUUGAGAUCAGACUUGGUAUUUUGUAUGUUACUUCUUCGGGGGUGGCCUCUGCAGUUUGCCGGGCCAGCAUCAGUUUGGGCGGUAGGACAAUCGCGCAGGAACGUGGCACGGCUUCGGUUGUGUGUUAUAGCCUGUGUGGAUACUGCCAGCCUAGACUGAGGACUGCGGUUUAUACCUAGGAUGUUGGCAUAAUGAU
rnacentral:rRNA from 1 species